CACUGGUCGAGAGCUAGUGCCGCUCUCCUGAUGAGUCCAAGGCAGUCCAAGGCAGGACGAAACCAGUG
rnacentral:hammerhead_ribozyme from 2 species